rnacentral:sRNA from 1 species
AAGAACAAUUAUGAGAGGACUGAUGAAGGACAAUGAUUAACUAAUCUAUAUUUUUAUUUGAAAUGAAUAACUUCAAACUACAAAAUAUAGGGUUAGUCUAUCCAUUUUUAUAAAUCAGUUUUCACUUGAAUAACCAUGAUUCUGAUGGUAACAACGAACUUAUUUGAGUUAAGUGAAAGACUAAUCCUUCCAAUUACAAAUUGGGGGGAUUUUUUU